rnacentral:rRNA from 1 species
AUUGAACGCUGGCGGCAGGCCUAACACAUGCAAGUCGGGCGGAGCGGCGGACGGGUGAGUAAUGUAUGGGAAACUGCCUGAUGGAGGGGGAUAACUCCUGGAAACGGUAGCUAAUCCCGCAUACCAUCAGAUGAACCCAUAUGGGAUUAGCUUGUAGGUGUGGUAAUGGCUCACCUAGGAGACGAUCCCUAGCUGGUCUGAGAGGAUGAUCAGCCACACUGGGACUGAGACACGGCCCAGACUCCUACGGGAGGCAGCAGUGGGGAAUAUUGGACAAUGGGCGAAAGCCUGAUCCAGCCAUGCCGCGUGUGUGAAGAAGGUCUUCGGAUUGUAAAGCACUUUAAGUUGGGAGGCGUUACCAACAGAAUAAGCACCGGCUAACUUCGUGCCAGCCGCCGCGGUAAUAC